ACUCCUACGGGAGGCAGCAGUAGGGAAUAUUGGUUCAAUGGGCGAAAGCCUGAACCAGCCAUGCCGCGUGUCAGAUGAAGGUCCUCUGGAUUGUAAAUGACUUUUCUACGGGAAGAAUGAGCCGUCUGCGGACGGAAGUUGACGGUACCGUAGGAAUAAGCACCGGCUAACUACGUGCCAGCAGCCGCGGUAAUACGUAGGGGUGCAAGCGUUGUCCGGAUUUACUGGGUUUAAAGGGUACGUAGGCGGUUGUGCCAAGUCUGGGGUGAAAGUUUGCAGCUCAACUGUAAAAUUGCCUUGGAUACUGGUCGGCUAGAGUAGUGGAGCGGUGGCUGGAAUUUAUAGUGUAGCGGUGAAAUGCUUAGAUACUAUGAGGAACACCAAUUGCGAAGGCAGGUCACUGGUCACUAACUGACGCUGAGGUACGAAAGUGUGGGGAUCAAA
rnacentral:rRNA from 1 species